rnacentral:rRNA from 1 species
AUUGAACGCUGGCGGAAUGCUUUACACAUGCAAGUCGAACGGUAGAGGGGCAACCCUUGAGAGUGGCGAACGGGUGAGUAAUGUAUCGGAACAUGCCCAGUCGUGGGGGAUAACGUAGCGAAAGUUACGCUAAUACCGCAUACGAUCUAUGGAUGAAAGCGGGGGAUCGCAAGACCUCGCGCGAUUGGAGUGGCCGAUAUCAGAUUUGGUAGUUGGUGGGGUAAAGGCCUACCAAGCCGACGAUCUGUAGCUGGUCUGAGAGGACGACCAGCCACACUGGGACUGAGACACGGCCCAGACUCCUACGGGAGGCAGCAGUGGGGAAUUUUGGACAAUGGGCGAAAGCCUGAUCCAGCCAUUCCGCGUGCAGGAAGAAGGCCUUCGGGUUGUAAGCUGCUUUUGUACGGAACGAAACGCGCUGUGCUAAUACCACGGCGUAAUGACGGUACCGUAAGAAUAAGCACCGGCUAACUACGUGCCAGCAGCCGCGGUAA